CAAAUCAUUCUUAGGAGUUAAGGUUUUCAUUUACACUGAAUUAUGUAUCGGGCAGUAACGAUAUGAUUUGA
rnacentral:tRNA from 1 species